rnacentral:rRNA from 1 species
UACGGAGGGUGCAAGCGUUAUCCGGAUUCACUGGGUUUAAAGGGUGCGUAGGUGGGCUGGUAAGUCAGUGGUGAAAUCUCCAGGCUUAACUUGGAAACUGCCAUUGAUACUAUCAGUCUUGAAUACCGUGGAGGUCAGCGGAAUAUGUCAUGUAGCGGUGAAAUGCUUAGAUAUGACAUAGAACACCAAUUGCGAAGGCAGCUUACUAUGGUUAGAUUGACACUGAGGCACGAAAGCGUGGGGAUCAAACAGG